rnacentral:rRNA from 1 species
GUAUAAGCAACUUUGUACUUGUGAGACUGCGAAUGGCUCAUUAUACCAGUAAUAGUUUAUUUGAUGGUCGAAAUUUACAUGGAUAACUGUGUGAAAACAGAGCUAAUACAUGCGAGAAGGGCGGGACCUGAGAGGGGCCGGUCUGUAUUUAUUAGUUUCCGAACCAGCGACAGCAAUGUCGGACGAACCGUUGGUGAUUCAUAGUAACUUGGCGAAGCGCACGCCCCAGCGGCGGCGCUAGUUCAUUCAAAUUUCUGCCCGAUCAACUUUCGAUUGCUGUGUAGUGGACAGCAAUGGUGAUAACCGGUGACGGGGAAUUAGGGUUCGAUACCGGAGAGGGAGCCUGAGAGACGGCUACCACUUCUACGGGAGGCAGCAGGCGCGCAAAUUACCCAAUCCCGAUUCGGGGAGGUAGUGACAAUAAAUAUCGAUGGUGAGCUACAAAGUUUACCAAUUGGAAUGAGAGUAAUGUAAAUGCCUUAACGAGUAACAAUU